rnacentral:rRNA from 1 species
ACAUCCAGCGAACUUGGCAGAGAUGCCUUGGUGCCUUCGGGAACGCUGAGACAGGUGCUGCAUGGCUGUCGUCAGCUCGUGUUGUGAAAUGUUGGGUUAAGUCCCGNAACGAGCGCAACCCUUAUCCUUUGUUGCCAGCGAUUCGGUCGGGAACUCAAAGGAGACUGCCGGUGAUAAACCGGAGGAAGGUGGGGAUGACGUCAAGUCAUCAUGGCCCUUACGAGUAGGGCUACACACGUGCUACAAUGGCGCAUACAAAGAGAAGCGACCUCGCGAGAGCAAGCGGACCUCAUAAAGUGCGUCGUAGUCCGGAUCGGAGUCUGCAACUCGACUCCGUGAAGUCGGAAUCGCUAGUAAUCGUGGAUCAGAAUGCCACGGUGAAUACGUUCCCGGGCCUUGUACACACCGCCCGUCACACCAUGGGAGUGGGUUGCAAAAGAAGUAGGUAGCUUAACCUUCGGGAGGGCGCUUACCACUUUGUGAUUCAUGGCUGGGGUGAAGUCGUAACAAGGUAAGCGUAGCGAG